GAUGAACUUUGGCGGCGUGCCUAAUACAUGCAAGUCGAGCGAACGGACGAGAAGCUUGCUUCUCUGAUGUUAGCGGCGGACGGGUGAGUAACACGUGGAUAACCUACCUAUAAGACUGGGAUAACUUCGGGAAACCGGAGCUAAUACCGGAUAAUAUUUUGAACCGCAUGGUUCAAAAGUGAAAGACGGUCUUGCUGUCACUUAUAGAUGGAUCCGCGCUGCAUUAGCUAGUUGGUAAGGUAACGGCUUACCAAGGCAACGAUGCAUAGCCGACCUGAGAGGGUGAUCGGCCACACUGGAACUGAGACACGGUCCAGACUCCUACGGGAGGCAGCAGUAGGGAAUCUUCCGCAAUGGGCGAAAGCCUGACGGAGCAACGCCGCGUGAGUGAUGAAGGUCUUCGGAUCGUAAAACUCUGUUAUUAGGGAAGAACAUAUGUGUAAGUAACUGUGCACAUCUUGACGGUACCUAAUCAGAAAGCCACGGCUAACUACGUGCCAGCAGCCGCGGUAAUACGUAGGUGGCAAGCGUUAUCCGGAAUUAUUGGGCGUAAAGCGCGCGUAGGCGGUUUUUUAAGUCUGAUGUGAAAGCCCACGGCUCAACCGUGGAGGGUCAUUGGAAACUGGAAAACUUGAGUGCAGAAGAGGAAAGUGGAAUUCCAUGUGUAGCGGUGAAAUGCGCAGAGAUAUGGAGGAACACCAGUGGCGAAGGCGACUUUCUGGUCUGUAACUGACGCUGAUGUGCGAAAGCGUGGGGAUCAAACAGGAUUAGAUACCCUGGUAGUCCACGCCGUAAACGAUGAGUGCUAAGUGUUAGGGGGUUUCCGCCCCUUAGUGCUGCAGCUAACGCAUUAAGCACUCCGCCUGGGGAGUACGACCGCAAGGUUGAAACUCAAAGGAAUUGACGGGGACCCGCACAAGCGGUGGAGCAUGUGGUUUAAUUCGAAGCAACGCGAAGAACCUUACCAAAUCUUGACAUCCUUUGACAACUCUAGAGAUAGAGCCUUCCCCUUCGGGGGACAAAGUGACAGGUGGUGCAUGGUUGUCGUCAGCUCGUGUCGUGAGAUGUUGGGUUAAGUCCCGCAACGAGCGCAACCCUUAAGCUUAGUUGCCAUCAUUAAGUUGGGCACUCUAAGUUGACUGCCGGUGACAAACCGGAGGAAGGUGGGGAUGACGUCAAAUCAUCAUGCCCCUUAUGAUUUGGGCUACACACAUGCUACAAUGGACAAUACAAAGGGCAGCGAAACCGCGAGGUCAAGCAAAUCCCAUAAAGUUGUUCUCAGUUCGGAUUGUAGUCUGCAACUCGACUACAUGAAGCUGGAAUCGCUAGUAAUCGUAGAUCAGCAUGCUACGGUGAAUACGUUCCCGGGUCU
rnacentral:rRNA from 1 species